UAUUUGAGUAUAAGCGUCGCCUUGGUGAUUUUAUAGGAAACGGAAAAUGAAAUCAAGCAAGUCUCAUUUGGCAACGCUUGUAAAAGACAACUCUUUGCGGAGGAAUAAAUUGAGAAAUUUUGAGUUUAGUCGUGCUUAAUUGUCAAGUCAAUUGAUCAGUUUAUUUAUUAAAUUUCCAAAGGUUAUAAUUUAAGAUUGAAACAUGGAUAAAGUGAAACUUGCUCGUGUUACUAAAGUUUUGGGAAGAACCGGAUCCCAAGGACAAUGUACCCAAGUUCGGGUUGAAUUUUUGGACGAGAAUAAUCGAAGUAUCAUAAGGAAUGUAAAAGGACCUGUCAGAGAAGGUGACAUUCUUACUCUUUUAGAAUCUGAAAGAGAAGCUAGAAGAUUGAGGUAAACAGUGUGUUGUAUCCUGUCCAUGUAAUCCACCUUUUCAGACUUAAUAAAGUUAAUGUGAUCUGUUAACAA